UCGUAUGAGCAUAUUAUGCAUAUGAGGCCCAUACCGCAUAGUAUCUCUCCAAAUAUGCCUAUGGCCAAAAGAUGGGAGCCACCGAAGAAUUAUCAUGGCAAUCCACAUAACCUAAUGCUUUCCAUCGGACAAGAAUUUGAUAACCUCAAACCUAAUGAGAUGACAGGCAGGAGGCAUAUUAAUCUGCAAUGUGCAUAACGACACUCAUAUUUGACGAUAUUGAUGAGCCGUACAUGCCAAAUCAUGUACACCGGCAAUUUGGAGCUAAACAUGGCAUUCCUAUAAAUCUAAGAGGUCUAGCAGAUAAGGUGGACAACCAGAUUGACGAACUGUGAAUGCAAACAAAAUCCAACACUGGUUGACUCGUCAUGAUCGCAUGAUGCCUGAUAUUGAAGAAGAUACCAACAAUGGGUUGCCCUCAGAGGAGUACAAUGCCUGUACAACCUAGUGUUUCAUCCUAUAAUGCAUAAUGUCACUAACCUACCCAAAGACAUAUUGCAACCUCAUAACAAGGAAAAAGAAGAUGUGGUUCCUGCUCAUGAACCAUGGUAUAUAAUGAGCCCUCGAGGUUAUGAGGACCAGUUGGUUAGUGCAGUUCAGGUAUCUACAAUCAUGUUAACAGAGGCACUUACACUUAAACAAAAGUGGUAUCCUGAAGUUUAUAAUUGCGUUAACAACGCAUUUGAAACGUUGCCUAAGUUUGUGCAUGUGGAUAUGGAUGACAUAGAAGCCAGGAUAAGUUUGUGCCUGUGGAUAUGGAUGACAUAGAAGCCAGGAUGGAAAAUUUACAACGUGAAUAUAAUGACGAAGGUGUACCUGACGUGGCUGGACAUGAUGUAGUGGUGAAAGUAGUCGGGCAGCAAAAGACCUAGCUCCAUCCACAAAACUUGCAGUUUAGGAUCGCAGAAGAUAUACUACACAAAAGAAACAGUAACAGUCUAAGAGAAAGGGAUCAGUAUA